GUGUUUGGUUUAGUGUUGUGAUUGGUGUUUUGUUUGUAGUGCUUUUGUGUUAUUUUUCUAUUCGUUAAUUUGCUAACAACCCGUGAACUUCGACCUGUACAACGAGGCUAUUGAUUGGACUGUAGAAUAAGAACAGGAAAUAAAGACCGGACACGGAGAGUUAGGCUACAGAGAAGGCUACCGGAGGCAGCGCGAAGCGGUGGAAAAUUACUACGUGAGACACAAGAUCUACGAGCCAGAGGAUCCACGCAGGAUCCCGUAUACCCAUAAGGCUAGACGUGCGCAUCCCGGGGAAUGGGCUACUACUGCCUGGGACCCGGGCAGAAGGCGUUUCUCAAUGUCAAGGAAGGAUCCUUCGAAGCCAGAAUUUGAAGGAUGCUACGUCAUCGACGUCCGUCGAAGGACCGUUCCAAUGUCAAGGAUCCUCCGAAUCGGAGAAUUUCCCAUAGACAGCGAAGGAUGCAUAAGUGCAUCCUUCGCGGCCCCAAAUCACCCACAAUCCAAUGCGCACAGCUUUUGCCAGCUUGUAAAAAUUAAUUAAAUGGCGGAACUAAGCGGGGAGUUGGAGCGGCAUCGCUCAUGGCGAAAUAAUUUAAAUGGACUAAGGAACAAACGUAGACUGUCACUGGGGAUGGGAAAGCCAAAGACAAGCAGGGAGACAGAUGUUGAAUAGAUUAUUUGCUAUAUUUGAGAUUGACAUUCUAAAAAUAAAUGCAUUAAAUUAA